UAACGUUUGAUGUUCUAACCUAGGCCCAUAAACUGGGUCGGGGACCGUGUCUGGUGGGUAGUUUGACUGGGGCGGUCUCCUCCUAAAGAGUAACGGAGGAGCACGAAGGUUGGCUAAGCAUGGUCGGACAUCAUGCGGUUAGUGCAAAGGCAUAAGCCAGCUUGACUGCGAGAGUGACGGCUCGAGCAGGUACGAAAGUAGGUCUUAGUGAUCCGGUGGUUCUGAAUGGAAGGGCCAUCGCUCAACGGAUAAAAGGUACUCCGGGGAUAACAGGCUGAUACCGCCCAAGAGUUCAUAUCGACGGCGGUGUUUGGCACCUCGAUGUCGGCUCAUCACAUCCUGGGGCUGAAGUAGGUCCCAAGGGUAUGGCUGUUCGCCAUUUAAAGUGGUACGCGAGCUGGGUUUAGAACGUCGUGAGACAGUUCGGUCCCUAUCUGCCGUGGGCGUUGGAAGAUUGAGAGGGGUUGCUCCUAGUACGAGAGGACCGGAGUGAACGCACCACUGGUGUUCGGGUUGUCAUGCCAAUGGCAUUGCCCGGUAGCUAAGUGCGGAAGAGAUAACCGCUGAAAGCAUCUAAGCGGGAAACUUGCC
rnacentral:rRNA from 1 species